CCUACGGGGGGCACCAGUGGGGAAUAUUGCACAAUGGGCGCAAGCCUGAUGCAGCCAUGCCGCGUGUGUGAAGAAGGCCUUCGGGUUGUAAAGCACUUUCAGCGGGGAGGAAGGCGUUAAGGUAAUAACCUUGGCGAUUGACGUUACCCGCAGAAGAAGCACCGGCUAACUCCGUGCCAGCAGCCGCGGUAAUACGGAGGGUGCAAGCGUCAAUCGGAAUUACUGGGCGUAAAGCGCACGCAGGCGGUCUGUCAAGUCGGAUGUGAAAUCCCCGGGCUCAACCUGGGAACUGCAUUCGAAACUGGCAGGCUAGAGUCUUGUAGAGGGGGGUAGAAUUCCAGGUGUAGCGGUGAAAUGCGUAGAGAUCUGGAGGAAUACCGGUGGCGAAGGCGGCCCCCUGGACAAAGACUGACGCUCAGGUGCGAAAGCGUGGGGAGCAAACAGGAUUAGAUACCCGUGUAGUC
rnacentral:rRNA from 1 species